GGGACCGUUCCGGAUUCGACUGGAUGUGCCGAUUGCCGAUCGCAUGCCGAGGAUGAUCGUUUGCCUCGUAAAUCAUCGGUCACAACAACAACUGCGAACGAAGAGUACGCACUCGCCGCUUGACGGCGACGUCCCCUGUCUGACGAACACUAAGCCAGGGGGCGCAAGCAGUGUUCUGGCACAAGGAUUUGACUCAUCGGUCUGCGUGCGAGAUUUCAGAUGAGGCAGUCUGAGCACAGUCUGUCUGCCGACUCCGUGCAAGGACGCGAAACAACAAAGACAGAACAAGCAUGUAGUAUAUCGUCAUGAAGUCAUCGCAGGACGCGGGUUCAACUCCCGCCGGUUCCACCA
rnacentral:tmRNA from 1 species